rnacentral:tRNA from 1 species
ACAGUGGUGGUUUGGUGGUAGAAUUCUUGCCUUCCUUGCAGGAAAUCUGGGUUCAGUUCCCAGCCUGUC